rnacentral:rRNA from 1 species
UACGAAGGGGGCUAACGUUGCUCGGAAUCACUGGGCGUAAAGCGCACGUAGGCGGACUCUUAAGUCGGUGGUGAAAUCCUGGAGCUCAACUCCAGAACUGCCUUCGAUACUGAGAGUCUCGAGUCCGAGAGAGGUGAGUGGAACUGCGAGUGUAGAGGUGAAAUUCGUAGAUAUUCGCAAGAACACCAGUGGCGAAGGCGGCUCACUGGCUCGGUACUGACGCUGAGGUGCGAAAGCGUGGGGAGCAAACAGG